GCGAGGUGCCAGACCCUACCUCCUCCGCCGCUGAGUGGCAGCCGGCUCGGGCCAAUCGCGAGGAGACUCCGCUCCCCGGCGGCUCUCCAGCCAAUGGGCGAAAUUGUGGCAAUCCUCACAGCAGAGUUUAAGACUGUCACUCCACUGACCUAGAAAUUUGGCAAGAACUUCUUAGGACUGAGUAUUGACUCUGCUGUUCACUCUGGAUAACAGCUGUUCUCACUGAAUUGGUUGUUUUGGUGUCAUCCUUCUCUGCACAAGGAUUUGUUUGCUAUCUGUUUUCCUCUGGAGGCAGGAUCUUGCUCACGACACUCCAAGAAGUUUUCAUUUUUUGGAUACAUCCUCCUAUUUAGAAUUUUCAUACAAGUGAGAUUGCUCUGUCUCUACUAGUUUUACAUAUGAAAAGAAAAUAAAGGAGAAGACAAAUUUGCCUCGGUUAGUUUCUCUUCCAUCGCAAUUCACUGCUGAGUACUAUAGCAAGCCAACAACAAAGAUCAGCAAUAUCAAGACUUUAUGACCAGGAAGUGAAAUGAAAUGGGCUUAGCUCCUGACUUGGCUUGAUCAUCGUGCAGAUGAUGGGGAUAUGGGAGAAUAAGAAACUUCUUUACCUGACUGUGCAUGGACUACCUCAACACCAGGCUCUGUCGUGCAGGAGUGCCAUGAUUUGGAGUAAAUUCUGUCCCAAAGAGUUAAAGGAGCAUAAGGCCGCACUAUGAAAAGGAAUUGGUGGAAAAGUAAUAUUGAG